AAGCCAGGACUCAAACAUCCCCAAAGGGCGUCCGGGCUGAUGACGAUAGCUCCCAAUCGCCCUCCAGACGCACACUGGCAGGAACAACCGGAGGGACUUCCCUGACCGACCCCGCGUUUGCUCAGCUUUGAAUUCCCGCUCUGUAGAUCUGUCGCAAUUUAACCAGAAGUCACCCUGUGCAUGGAGCUGUUUGAGAAAGAUCAGAGGAUGUGCCCUUGUUGGAGGAGAUGUGUCCCUGGGGGAAGGUCUUGAAACUUCAAAUGCCCACUCACUCCAUUCUCAGCACCUCUCUUCCUCAUGUCUAUGAAUCAGGAUGGGAAGUUCUCAGCUACUGCUCUAGCACCAUACCUGCCUGCCAGAUGCCAUGCUCCCUGCCAUGAUGGUCAUGAACUCACCCUUUAAAACUGUAAGCCCUCAAUAAAGUCUUUCUUCU
ensembl:processed_transcript A930005H10Rik RIKEN cDNA A930005H10 gene